rnacentral:rRNA from 1 species
GACGAACGCUGGCGGCGUGCCUAAUACAUGCAAGUCGAGCGAAGUUUUUCUGGUGCUUGCACUAGAAAAACUUAGCGGAGAACGGGUGAGUAACACGUAAAGAACCUGCCUCAUAGACUGGGACAACUAUUGGAAACGAUAGCUAAUACCGGAUAACAGUAUUUCUCGCAUGAGAGAUAUUUAAAAGUUGGUUAUGCUAACACUAUGAGAUGGCUUUGCGGUGCAUUAGCUAGUUGGUGGGGGAAAGGCCCACCAAGGCGACGAUGCAUAGCCGACCUGAGAGGGUGAUCGGCCACACUGGGACUGAGACACGGCCCAGACUCCUACGGGAGGCAGCAGUAGGGAAUCUUCCGCAAUGGGCGAAAGCCUGACGGAGCAACGCCGCGUGAGUGAAGAAGGAUUUCGGUUCGUAAAGCUCUGUUGUUAGGGAAGAAUGGAUAUGUAGUAACUAUACAUGUAAGAGACGGUACCUAACCAGAAAGCCACGGCUAACUACGUG